AGUAAAAGUCGUAACAAGGUUUCCGUAGGUGAACCUGCGGAAGGAUCAUUAACAGAUAGAAACAUAUCAAGGAGUUUUCUCUCCUUGGUAUUCUACCUUUAAUCCCCCCCUUCAUAUGUGAACUUGAACGCAAGUGACUGUGCAAGUGCCCCUAUUUCAAAGAUAGGGGUACUUUGACGCUUGUGCUCUUUUUUCUAUUCUAUCCAACCCAAUGUAUGGUCUUAUGAAUGUUGAAUACAAAUAAAAUGAAAAUAUAACUUUCAGCAACGGAUCUCUUGGCUCUUGCAUCGAUGAAGAACGCAGCGAAAUGCGAUAAGUAAUGUGAAUUGCAGAAUUCAGUGAAUCAUUGAAUCUUUGAACGCACCUUGCACCUUUCAGUAUUCUGAAAGGUACACCUGUUUGAGUAUCAUUAAUAUCCUCCACUCAUUUCGUUGUUUUUCUUUGAAUUGAGAUGGGAAUUUGGGAGUAAUAUAUUUGCAAACUUUCCAGUUUGCUCUCCUUGAAUGUAUUAGUGAGAAGAAAACAAAAGGCAACAGGAGUGGCUGAUGUGAUAAUAACCAAAGUCUCUCAGCUCUUCUAACCUUUGAAUUGAAUUGUCUUCUUGCUUUCGAAACAAAGCAUUUUUCUUAAGACUUGAUCUCAAAUCAGGUGGGAUUACCCGCUGAACUUAAGCAUAUCAAUAAGCGGAGGA
rnacentral:rRNA from 1 species